rnacentral:rRNA from 1 species
GAUGAACGCUGGCGGCGUGCCUAAUACAUACAAGUCGAGGGAGAAUGUUGGAUUCGUCUGACAUGAAACCGGCGCACGGGUGCGUAACACGUAUGCAACCUACCUUUAACUGGGGUAUAGCUCAGAGAAAUCUGAAUUAAUCCCCCAUAAGACUACGACAUGGCAUCAUGAUGUAGUUAAAGCUCCGGCGGUUAAGGAUGGGCAUGCGGUACAUUAGCUAGUUGGUGAGGUAAUGGCUCACCAAGGCUACGAUGUAUAGGGGGUCUGAGAGGAUGAUCCCCCACACUGGUACUGAGGCACGGACCAGACUCCUACGGGAGGCAGCAGUAGGGAAUAUUGGUCAAUGGACGCAAGUCUGAACCAGCCAUGCCGCGUGAAGGAUGAAGGCCCUAUGGGUCGUAAACUUCUUUUAUUAGGGAAGAAAAAACGGGAUGCGUCCUGUACUGACGGUACUUAAUGAAUAAGGAUCGGCUAACUUUGUGCCAGCCGCCGCGGUAA